rnacentral:lncRNA from 1 species
GUGGGCCCACUAGUGGGACUCUCUAUAGCAUGGGUUCAUCUUAGUAGGAAUUCUGAAUUAUCUUAGUGGUUGGAUAACAUGUUGUCCCCUUACUUUGGCUCUUGUUGGAUUCUACUAGAUUUGGUUAUCUUUGGUAAUAACAGUUCAGGUUGUCAAGCUAUCUCUUGGCUGACGUAUUCUUGAUCUACUUGAUUCAUGCAUGAAACCACACCUUAGUCAUACCCUCAGUUGGGUUAUUCCGCUCACUUUACCUAUUUUAAUUCUUGAGGAUUUCUUAUUUAUAGAAUUUCUAAGAUAUUGACUAUAAAAUUAGUUAAAUUUCGAUGAUCUUGAAUAUGUGUAUUUGAUCUGCUGGAUUGAAUAAAUAUUUUACUUGGAUUUGUCGCUGAUAGAGGUAAAUCACCUGGUGCUUCAAAGUAUAUGUUUAAUGAUAUUAGAAAAUUAUGAUUAGCAUAUUAAAUUUAUUUUAUAAUCUUUACUUUAUGUCUAAUAAAAUGGGUCAAGCAUGUUACUAUUUUAGUUGUUUUAUAUGGUAUGUAUUUUGAUAUUUUUAUCAAAUAUUAUUUUUUAACAUAUGUUUUGUUUUGAGAAAUGAAAAAGCUGAUUGGGUAAUUUGUGAAAUUAUUUUUAUAUUUAUAUAGUCUCGGUAUGGCUACAACCUGGCCUC